rnacentral:rRNA from 1 species
UACGUAGGGUCCGAGCGUUGUCCGGAUUUAUUGGGCGUAAAGAGCUCGUAGGCGGUUUGUCGCGUCUGCGUGUGAAAACCCGAGGCUCAACCUCGGGCCUGCAGUGGGUACGGGCAGACUAGAGUGCGGUAGGGGAGGAUUGGAAUUCCUGGUGUAAGCGGUGGAAUGCGCAGAUAUCAGGAGGAACACCAAUGGCGAAGGCAGAUCUCUGGGCCGUAACUGACGCUGAGGAGCGAAAGCAUGGGGAGCGAACAGG